GCAAGUCGAGCGAAAAGCUUAUGAUUGAACCUGCGGGUGAAAGAAUAAGUGGAAAGCGGGUGACGGGUGAGUAACGCGUGGGUAACCAGCCCCAUACAAAGGGAGAGCCACUGGAAACGGUGAUUAAUACCACAUAAUAUCAAGCGAUCGCAUGAUUGCUUGGUCAAAGAUUUAUCGGUAUGGGAUGGACCCGCGUCUGAUUAGCUAGUUGGUAAGGUAAUGGCUUACCAAGGCGACGAUCAGUAGCCGACCUGAGAGGGUGAUC
rnacentral:rRNA from 1 species